AACGAACGCUGGCGGCAGGCUUAACACAUGCAAGUCGAGCGCCCCGCAAGGGGAGCGGCAGACGGGUGAGUAACGCGUGGGAACGUACCUUUUGGUUCGGAACAACUCCGGGAAACUGGAGCUAAUACCGGAUAAGCCCUAACGGGGAAAGAUUUAUCGCCGAAAGAUCGGCCCGCGUCUGAUUAGCUAGUUGGUGAGGUAACGGCUCACCAAGGCGACGAUCAGUAGCUGGUCUGAGAGGAUGAUCAGCCACACUGGGACUGAGACACGGCCCAGACUCCUACGGGAGGCAGCAGUGGGGAAUAUUGGACAAUGGGCGCAAGCCUGAUCCAGCCAUGCCGCGUGAGUGAUGAAGGCCUUAGGGUCGUAAAGCUCUUUUGUCCGGGAAGAUAAUGACUGUACCGGAAGAAUAAGCCCCGGCUAACUUCGUG
rnacentral:rRNA from 1 species